rnacentral:rRNA from 1 species
ACGCUCGACACCUACUGGAGGCAGCAGUCGGGAAUAUUGCGCAAUGGAGGAAACUCUGACGCAGUGACGCCGCGUAUAGGAAGAAGGUUUUCGGAUUGUAAACUAUUGUCGUUAGGGAAGAAAAAGGACAGUACCUAAGGAGGAAGCUCCGGCUAACUACGUGCCGCAGCCGCGGUAAUCUGAGCGGGCUGGCAAGGC